UGGCUCAGGACGAACGCUGGCGGCGUGCCUAACACAUGCAAGUCGAGCGAAUGAAAUUCCUUCGGGAACGGAUUUAGCGGCGGACGGGUGAGUAACACGUGGGCAACCUGCCUCAUAGAGGGGAAUAGCCUUCCGAAAGGGAGAUUAAUACCGCAUAAGAUUGUAGUACCGCAUGGUACAGCAAUUAAAGGAGCAAUCCGCUAUGAGAUGGGCCCGCGGCGCAUUAGCUAGUUGGUGAGGUAACGGCUCACCAAGGCGACGAUGCGUAGCCGACCUGAGAGGGUGAUCGGCCACAUUGGGACUGAGACACGGCCCAGACUCCUACGGGAGGCAGCAGUGGGGAAUAUUGGUCAAUGGAGGCAACUCUGAACCAGCCAAGUCGCGUGAAGGAUGAAGGUCUUAUGGAUUGUAAACUUCUUUUGCAAGGGAAUAAAGUGGGGGACGUGUCCUCCUUUGCAUGUACCUUGCGAAUAAGGAUCGGCUAACUCCGUGCCAGCAGCCGCGGUAAUACGGAGGAUCCGAGCGUUAUCCGGAUUUAUUGGGUUUAAAGGGUGCGCAGGCGGGAUGUUAAGUCGGCGGUGAAAUUUUGCAGCUCAACUGUAAAAGUGCCUUCGAUACUGGCUUUCUUGAGUGUGGAUGAAGUAGGCGGAAUUUGUGGUGUAGCGGUGAAAUGCUUAGAUAUCACGAGGAACUCCGAUUGCGCAGGCAGCUUACUAAACCACUACUGACGCUCAUGCACGAAGGCGUGGGGAUCAAACAAAAGUAGAUACCCUGGUAGUCCACACUGUAAACGAUGAAUGCUAGGUGUAGGAGGUAUUGACCCCUUCUGUGCCGCAGUAAACACAGUAAGCAUUCCGCCUGGGGAGUGCGGUCGCAAGAUUAAAACUCAAAGGAAUUGACGGGGGCCCGCACAAGCAGCGGAGCAUGUGGUUUAAUUCGAAGCAACGCGAAGAACCUUACCAGGUCUUGACAUCCAGUUAAACUUGUAGAGAUAUGAGGUCCCUUCGGGGGAACUGAGACAGGUGGUGCAUGGUUGUCGUCAGCUCGUGUCGUGAGAUGUUGGGUUAAGUCCCGCAACGAGCGCAACCCUUGCCAAUAGUUACUAACGAGUGAAGUCGAGGACUCUAUUGGGACCGCCGGGGACAACUCGGAGGAAGGUGGGGGGGACGUCAAAUCAUCAUGCCCCUUACGACCUGGGCUACACACGUGCUACAAUGGCCGAGACAGAGAGCGGCGAAGGAGCGAUCUGGAGCGAAUCUCAAAAAAGCGGUCACAGUUCGGAUUGUGGGCUGCAACCCGCCCACAUGAAGCAGGAGUUGCUAGUAAUCGCGAAUCAGCAUGUCGCGGUGAAUAAAAUCCCGGGCCUUGCUCACCCCGCCCGUC
rnacentral:rRNA from 1 species